UACGAAGGACCCGAGCGUUAUCCGGAUUUACUGGGUUUAAAGGGUGCGUAGGUGGACCUAUAAGUCAGUGGUGAAAUCCUACAGCUUAACUGCAGAACUGCCAUUGAUACUGUUGGUCUUGAGUAUAGUUGAGGUAGGCGGAAUAUGUCAUGUAGUGGUGAAAUACUUUAGAUAUGACAUAGAACACCGAUUGCGAAGGCAGCUUGCUAAGCUAUAACUGACACUGAUGCACGAAAAGCGUGGGGGGAGCAAAACAGGGAUU
rnacentral:rRNA from 1 species